rnacentral:misc_RNA from 1 species
GCCAUCAUGGCGUUCUCCUUGGCCUGCUGCAGAUCUCGAUUCUGCUCAGCCAGUUUCUCUCUCAUGAGCUGGGACUCCUCCAGAAGCGCGGCAUGGGAGAGAGCUACAGCCACCUGGUCAGCAACCACCUUUAUUAUCUCAAGUUCCUGGUUAUUCCAAGAUCUAGGUUGUCCACCAGGGAGAACUAAAACCAAAAUCGCAUAGUAAGUCGGAACUAUCUCAGGAGUUCCUCCCUUAAA